rnacentral:rRNA from 1 species
UACGGAGGAUGCAAGCGUUAUCCGGAAUGAUUGGGCGUAAAGCGUCCGCAGGUGGCACAUCAAGUCUGCUGUCAAAGCGCGUGGCUCAACCACGUAAAGGCAGUGGAAACUGGUGAGCUAGAGUGUGGUAGGGGUAGAGGGAAUUCCCAGUGUAGCGGUGAAAUGCGUAGAGAUUGGGAAGAACACCGGUGGCGAAAGCGCUCUGCUGGACCACAACUGACACUCAUGGACGAAAGCUAGGGGAGCGAAUGGG